GAGGGGAUAGCUCAGUGGUAGAGCACAUGCUUAGCGUGCAUGAGGUCCUGGGUGCAAUCCCCAGUACCUCCA
rnacentral:tRNA from 1 species